rnacentral:rRNA from 1 species
GUGUUCGUUAUUAAGGGCGCAUGGUGGAUGCCUUGGCAUGCUGAGCCGAUGAAGGACGUGAAAGGCUGCGUUAAGCCUCGGGGAGUUGUCAAUUAAGCGUUGAUCCGAGGAUGUCCGAAUGGGGAAACCUGGCCCUGGUUAUGUGGGGUUACCCUUCAGUGAAUUCAUAGCUGUUGUGGGGGUUUACGCGGGGAAGUGAAACAUCUCAGUACCCGUAGGAGAAGAAAAUAAUAAUGAUUCUGCUAGUAGUGGCGAACGAACGUGGAUGAGGCUAAACCGUGUGCAUGUGAUACCUGGUAGGGGUUGUGUGUGCGGUGUUGUGGGCCCUGAUGUGCGGUGACUACCAUUGCCGCGCCCUCGCAUUGUUGUUAGGUGAAGUGGUUUGGAAUGGCCUGCCGGAGUAGGUGAGAGUCCUGUAGCUGAA